CUCCCGUUAGGGAGAGGCUAGGGAUUCCGGCCUUUGGAGCCGGAGACCCCGGUUCGAAUCCGGGCCGGGCUA
rnacentral:tRNA from 1 species